UACGUAGGGUCCAAGCGUUGUCCGGAUUUAUUGGGCGUAAAGAGCUCGUAGGCGGUUCGGUAAGUCGGAUGUGAAAACUCAGGGCUCAACCCGGAGACGCCAUCCGAUACUGCUGUGACUGGAGUCUGGUAGGGGAUCACGGAAUACCUGGUGUAGCGGUGAAAUGCGCAGAUAUCAGGAGGAACACCGGUGGCGAAGGCGGAUCUCUGGGCCUUACCUGACGCUGAGGCGCGAAAGUGUGGGGAGCGAACAGG
rnacentral:rRNA from 1 species